rnacentral:tRNA from 1 species
AGGAUUAUAUUUAACUAUAAUAUUUGAAUUGCAAUCAAAAGGUAUCUUCUAUACAGAUUAAUCUUU